rnacentral:ncRNA from 1 species
ACAAUUGCAUUGAACGGAAGAGUAGUAAUUAAUUCGAGUGAUUAGCGAGUAUUGGGGAGUGGAAGCAAUACCAAAUGAAUUGAUUAUGAAAGUAGUCCGGGAGCAAAAUAGCUGAAAGUUAGUAAGUUAUUUCGGGUCAUUCCCGUUAUCGAAUGGUUAAGUGAAAAUCUAAGUAUUUAGAUUUUAAUUUAGGUGGUACCGCGAGCAACUCGUCCUAUUU